GCUCCAAAGGUCAGCGGUAGACCAGCCUCUCUUGAUACUGAUCCUGAAAGUGACGCAGGUUCAACUCCUGCUUGGGGCA